AUUGAACGCUGGCGGCAGGCCUAACACAUGCAAGUCGAGCGGAUGAAGGGAGCUUGCUCCUGGAUUCAGCGGCGGACGGGUGAGUAAUGCCUAGGAAUCUGCCUGGUAGUGGGGGAUAACGUCCGGAAACGGGCGCUAAUACCGCAUACGUCCUGAGGGAGAAAGUGGGGGAUCUUCGGACCUCACGCUAUCAGAUGAGCCUAGGUCGGAUUAGCUAGUUGGUGGGGUAAAGGCCUACCAAGGCGACGAUCCGUAACUGGUCUGAGAGGAUGAUCAGUCACACUGGAACUGAGACACGGUCCAGACUCCUACGGGAGGCAGCAGUGGGGAAUAUUGGACAAAGGGCGAAAGCCUGAUCCAGCCAUACCGCGUGUGUGAAGAAGGUCUUCGGAUUGUAAAGCACUUUAGGUUGGGAGGAAGGGCAGUAAGUUAAUACCUUGCUGUUUUGACGUUACCAACAGAAUAAGCACCGGCUAACUUCGUG
rnacentral:rRNA from 1 species